UGAAGAGAUAAGGCCAUGAAGAAAUAUCUUCAGAAGAACUUUACCCGACCUAUGCCUACAUUCCCUUUUUUUUCCUAAAGAAUUAUUGUUGGAGCUAGAUGAUGAUGAUGAAGAUGAAAAAGAAGCCACUAUAGAGAAGAAGACUACAGAACAAGAAGAAGAAGCGGAGAAAAUCAAAUCUAUGCAUGUUGAAUCUGAU
rnacentral:lncRNA from 1 species